UGCCAGCCGCCGCGGUAAUACGGAGGGUGCAAGCGUUAUCCGGAAUCAUUGGGUUUAAAGGGUCCGUAGGCGGGCUAAUAAGUCAGAGGUGAAAUCCAGCAGCUUAACUGUUGAACUGCCUUUGAUACUGUUAGUCUUGAGUUAUAUGGAAGUAGAUAGAAUGUGUAGUGUAGCGGUGAAAUGCAUAGAUAUUACACAGAAUACCGAUUGCGAAGGCAGUCUACUACGUAUAUACUGACGCUAAUGGACGAAAGCGUGGGGAGCGAACAGGAUUAGAUA
rnacentral:rRNA from 1 species